UUCCUGUCGGCUGUUCUGAGCACAUGCUUCCAGGGAAUCCAGGCAUGAAAUGCUGAGAGAACAUAGAGCACACAAACCACAUUUUGGAUAACAUUUUACCCACACAAAUGAAAUUAGUGAAGGAGAGUCGCGUGACGCCUGGAUGAACGUCGUCCUGCUCCUCAACACAACAACAACCCUUAAAGAAUUACCAGAGUAACUACAGUCUCCACUUAAAUACCACAGGUAUGCACUACAGCUUCUGUCUGCUGGCCACACAUCCCUUUGAGUGCUCCAUCAUCAUAAUCAAUGGCAGGUUGAGCCGGCUGGGGUUUGAAGACCUUUACACAAACACUGUUUGUUUUACUUCUCCACGGCCAUGGAGCUCAGAAGAAAGGCUGCCAUCCUGUUGCCCUGUUCAAGUUCAGCACUUCUGAUCAAUCCUUCAAGGACGGUGGGAGAUUGGAUGAUGGCCGAGACACACUUUCUUCCGGAGGCUUGAGAAUUUCAGUGGAAGUGCUUUUUUCUUCUUUUGUUCCUGGCAUUACCACAGAAUUGAUCUGAAAAAUGCACCAAUUUCUAAAAGAAAAAAAAAGCAUUGGCAGUGAAAUGAUCGCAGUUUUUUGCUCGGCAUCAGAAACUGAAAAUAGCACAAAACCUCAUUGCUGGACUGACUGGAAAUUCUCAGUGAUACAUGAUAAACAUUUUUGGCAGGAUUAUAAACAAACAAUAUUAUUCAUAAUAAUAAUAAAAAUAUAUACUGUUAUCUAUCUAUCAUUACUAGUUGUAAUUGGCAUUGAAAUGUUUCAAACAGCCUAGUGAUACGGACUGUUGAAUGCAUGUGAUCCAAUAUGCAAAACAACAUGACAUUAUUAAAUUUAAAUUGCACUGCUGUACAACAGUUUGGGGUGGUUAAUUUAUUUUAUUAUAUUAUUUUAAAUAUCACUAAAGCUGCAUUUAUGAUCAAAGAUACUAUUAUUAAUAGAAUAUUAUUACAGUUUACAGCAGUGGUUUACCGGCCUUUUUCGUGAUUUUACCUCUAAUUUUUGUUGUAGAGAUAUUUUCAAUUAGCUUAUAAUAUUUACCUCUUUGUUUUAGAAAACUACAG